rnacentral:rRNA from 1 species
AUUGAACGCUGGCGGCAUGCUUUACACAUGCAAGUCGAACGGCAGCGCGGGCUUCGGCCUGGCGGCGAGUGGCGAACGGGUGAGUAAUGCAUCGGAACGUGCCCAGUAGUGGGGGAUAGCCCGGCGAAAGCCGGAUUAAUACCGCAUACGACCUGAGGGUGAAAGCGGGGGACCGAAAGGCCUCGCGCUAUUGGAGCGGCCGAUGUCGGAUUAGCUAGUUGGUGGGGUAAAGGCUUACCAAGGCGACGAUCCGUAGCUGGUCUGAGAGGACGACCAGCCAAACGGGGACUGGGAAAGGGCCCAGAACCAUAGGGGAGGCAGCAGGGGGGAAUUUUGGAAAAGGGGGGCAAACCUGACCCAGCCAUGCCGGGGGGGGGAAGAAGGCCUUCGGGUUGUAAACCGCUUUUGUUGGGGAAGAAAUCCUCUGGGCUAAUACCCCGGGGGGAGGAGGGGACCGGAAGAAUAAACACGGGAUAACUACGU